UAUAUAUUUCAUGAAAAUAUAUACAUUAAGUGAUGUCAUUACCUUGUAUGCUCUUGUAUGGGAGGGGAGAUUAGGCUGAGGAAAAUCUGGAGCAUGCCUUAUUUAUAGAUUAUUAUUUUUUUACUAAGAGCUGCAUUUGGAUCAUUUUUUUCCUCAAAAUCUGUCUCUCAAGCGGCAGAUUCACAACCCGGCAUCCUCAGGCAGGCCGGUACGCCGGUGCUGUUUGGGGGAAGCCCUGCGCAAGUCCCCGGGCUCUGAACAAGGAGACAGUUCUUCUUCCUGCCACAGACAAUAAAAGGAGCCCAUGGUGAUUAGUCCUCAUCCAGUUCUGCACAGCAGACUUCUACAUCUGGACAUCCAUGCAGCAUUUUUCUACACCAGCUUUGGAGCUGAGCACUGAAGUGCCUCAAGGUACAAGACCUCAGUCCCACCUAUGUAAAACAACUUUUAGAUUAAGUCUGCUGAACAGCCUUUCAUCAUGGUUACCCUUCUUUCGCAUUCUACCAUUUCCAUCAGAGGCAUGCAUAUCUAACAGGGCAGCAUUGUGUGGCCUAACAAGUAGAAGCAACCACAGCCACAGGUGCCUACACUGGAUGAACACAUGUCCAAUCUACGUAAAAAGGAAAGGAAAUCAAGGGAAAUGGCUACCAAAUGAGAAUAGUGACUCUACAGAUGAAAAUGGAUGAGCAUAUUUCACUAAGCCAAGAUAAACUCUUUAUAACAAGUUCAUUUUUUACAGUUGUGGGACAAUUUCUGCAUUUAAGGGUCUUGAAAGUUAAUAUUCCCAAACCUUUUGAAAUUGCUGUCUGUGUUCUGCAUCACUACUGAGCCUCACCAUUUCAUGAACUAGUUCUUAGUCAGUUCCCUUCUCAGCUUCAGCUGUGCACAUGUCCCUGUCCCUAAAGGUACGCAAAUAGCCCCAGGAACCUCUCAGUGGUCUUCAGUGCUUCUUUCCUGAUGAUCAACAGUCCUUUAAAAACAAAGCUCAGUUGAAAGCUGUGAUGAAAUGAGAGAAAUCAUAGAAACUACUGCUACUACUUUCUGUACUGGAGUAUUCACAGUGAGCAAGCAUGGAAAAAACCAGAAAGGAAAUAGACUUUUCACCAGACUGUUCUUAUGAGAACAUAGCAGCCUGCUCAGGAAGAGUCUGUAGAGCUACUGGCCCUGAAGAAGACAGAGGAGACAAGAAAAUAAAUGUGAUCAUUGUCUGAAAGCGAGUUUUUUGUCCAGAUCGCCACACACACCGUUUGCCACAUGAAAUGCUCCUCAGAGGAGGAGACAUGGAAGCAUUAUCAGGACAAAAUCACCACUUAAGCAGUGCAGUCUUAGAUCACCUCCCCUACACAAUGACUGAUUGGUGAUUCCAUGUUCAAGGAACUCUGAUCUGCCUGUGGCUAAAAGUUCUUCUGAACACUUUUUAAGAAAAGACUUGGCGUAGUUAAUUUGCUUUUUAUAACAUCUCUACUUUAUAAUACAACAGUUAUAGAGCUUUUAAAGUUCUCCAAAAGUUGCUAGAAUUCUAAAUAUUCUAAGUUUUGGAGCAUUUAUGAUAUUUUUCCAUGUUUUUCCAACUUUUUUUUUUUUUUGUGCGAGUUUUCCAAAUACUAUACUUCUGUGAAGAAGGUGUGAUUUAAGUCAGAUGGGCCCAUGAUACUAAUUUUUGGAUUGCACAGCAAAAGCAAAAUGGCAUUCAGACUGACUUCUGUGCACAUAUAUUGGUUUUAUGCUAAUUGUCAGAAAUUAGCUUAUACAAUUAACAAUUAAACUACACUCAUAUCUGAGUGUUAAACUACUCAAAUCAAUAUUGAGCUCCUAAUUAUACUGGUAAUUCCUCUGUCUAGCAUAUCUGCUGCCAGGAGAGUAUUCUUUAGCAUUGACAGUUCAGAAUUUCAUGAUAGGAUUGGCCAAGUUAGGAGUUACACUUAUCAUUUUGGCUCUGAAUAACUGUAAUAAAGUUUAAAAACUUGUGAAUUAUUCAAAACAAUGCUUUAUCCAUCUUGCACCAAGUUCUCUCCUCAAAACCAGUGCUCACGUGUUCUAGCAGCUAUUGACAGAUUUUUUCUUGCCCAAUAUGAGGCUGAAUUUUUCAUUGGUAAAUCACAGUGUGCCUGGAUCACUGAUGGCUUAAUGGAGAAUUACAUUUCAAAAUUACUUCAAAAUUAGUUAUUUCCUUUACACUUUAAAUUGUUUAAUAACUAAGCACUUAAAUCUUGAAGUGAUCAUUUGUAUUUCAUUGUCCUUCCUUUUCAGUACUAGGUAAGAAAUAAUUAGAAAGCUAUCUUCUUUGUGGAUCUUUUAAUUUUAAAAGAAUACCUAUUAUUAUGUAUAUAUUCAGAAGUAGA